AUUGAACGCUGGCGGCAGGCUUAACACAUGCAAGUCGAGCGAGCGGCGGACGGGUGAGUAAUGUAUGGGAAACUGCCUGAUGGAGGGGGAUAACUACUGGAAACGGUAGCUAAUACCGCAUACCAUCAGAUGUGCCCAGAUGGGAGUAGCUAGUAGGGGGGGAAAUGGCUCACCUAGGCGACUAUCCCUAGCUGGUCUGAGAGGAUGACCAGCCACACUGGAACUGAGACACGGUCCAGACUCCUCCUGGAGGCAGCAGUGGGGAAUAUUGCACAAUUGGCGAAAGCCUGAUGCAGCCAUGCCGCGUGUGUGAAGAAGGCCUUCGGGUUGUAAAGCACUUUCAGCGAGGAGGCGUUACUCGCAGAAGAAGCACCGGCUAACUCCGUGCCAGCAGCCGCGGUAAUUC
rnacentral:rRNA from 1 species